GACGAACGCUGGCGGCGUGCUUAACACAUGCAAGUCGAACGGAAAGGCCCUGCUUUUGUGGGGUGCUCGAGUGGCGAACGGGUGAGUAACACGUGAGUAACCUGCCCUUGACUUUGGGAUAACUUCAGGAAACUGGGGCUAAUACCGGAUAGGAGCUCCUGCUGCAUGGUGGGGGUUGGAAAGUUUCGGCGGUUGGGGAUGGACUCGCGGCUUAUCAGCUUGUUGGUGGGGUAGUGGCUUACCAAGGCUUUGACGGGUAGCCGGCCUGAGAGGGUGACCGGCCACGUUGGGACUGGGAUACGACCGAGACUCCUACGGGAGGCAGGAGUGGGGAAGGGUGCACGAGGGACGGAAGCAUAAUGCGGCAACGCCGGGUGCGGGAUGAGGGCCAUCGGGUUGGAAACCGCAGUCGCCUGUGACGAAGCGUGAGUGACGGUAAUGGGUAAAGAAGCACAGGCUAACUACGUG
rnacentral:rRNA from 1 species